rnacentral:rRNA from 1 species
CAGCCGUAAACGAUGUGCGUUAGGUGUAUCGACGACCACGAGUUGUCGAGGUGCCGAAGGGAAACCGUGAAACGUACCGCCUGGGAAGUACGGUCGCAAGGCUGAAACUUAAAGGAAUUGGCGGGGGAGCACCACAACAGGUGGAGCCUGCGGUUUAAUUGGAUUCAACACCGUAAAACUCACCAGGGAAGACUGUUACAUGAAAGCCGAGAUGAAGACUCUGCUAGAUUUUCAGAGGGUGGUGCAUGGCGUCAGUGACU